UACGUAGGGGGCAAGCGUUGUCCGGAAUUAUUGGGCGUAAAGAGCUCGUAGGCGGUCUGUCGCGUCUGCUGUGAAAAACUCGGGGGCUUAACCCCCGGGCCUGCAGUGGGUACGGGCAGACUAGAGUGCGGUAGGGGGAGACUGGAAUUCCUGGUGUAGCGGUGAAAUGCGCAGAUAUCAGGAGGAACACCGGUGGCGAAGGCGGGGUCUCUGGGCCGUAACUGACGCUGAGACGCGAAAGCGUGGGGGAGCAAACAGG
rnacentral:rRNA from 1 species